AUUGAACGCUGGCGGCAGGCCUAACACAUGCAAGUCGGGCGGUAGAGAGAAGCUUGCUUCUCUUGAGAGCGGCGGACGGGUGAGUAAUGCCUAGGAAUCUGCCUGGUAGUGGGGGAUAACGUUCGGAAACGGACGCUAAUACCGCAUACGUCCUACGGGAGAAAGCAGGGGACCUUCGGGCCUUGCGCUAUCAGAUGAGCCUAGGUCGGAUUAGCUAGUUGGUGAGGUAAUGGCUCACCAAGGCGACGAUCCGUAACUGGCCUGAGAGGAUGAUCAGUCACACUGGAACUGAGACACGGUCCAGACUCCUACGGGAGGCAGCAGUGGGGAAUAUUGGACAAUGGGCGAAAGCCUGAUCCAGCCAUGCCGCGUGUGUGAAGAAGGUCUUCGGAUUGUAAAGCACUUUAAGUUGGGAGGAAGGGUUGUAGAUUAAUACUCUGCAAUUUUGACGUUACCGACAGAAUAAGCACCGGCUAACUCUGUGCCAGCAGCCGCGGUAAUACAGAGGGUGCAAGCGUUAAUCGGAAUUACUGGGCGUAAAGCGCGCGUAGGUGGUUUGUUAAGUUGGAUGUGAAAUCCCCGGGCUCAACCUGGGAACUGCAUUCAAAACUGACUGACUAGAGUAUGGUAGAGGGUGGUGGAAUUUCCUGUGUAGCGGUGAAAUGCGUAGAUAUAGGAAGGAACACCAGUGGCGAAGGCGACCACCUGGACUAAUACUGACACUGAGGUGCGAAAGCGUGGGGAGCAAACAGG
rnacentral:rRNA from 1 species